CUUGUCUGUCUGAUGCAGGAGAUAAGCUCCUCAGUACAGCAACUCAGCCUCUCAUUUCUCUUCUCAGGACUGAGCACUGUACCUGAUAGACAAUAUAGAUACAUUACUGGUGGAAUGAUUUUAGUGCCCUUCUUGACAGCACAUUUGUAUCCUUUAAGGGAGAUUUAUAUUUUUUGUGAAUUCAAAGUCAUUUGGAACCCAAGACUAUCCAAUUCCUGAGUAUCCUCUUGGUUAAAAUCAAGUUUGCCUUGUACUAAUAAUAAAGAAUUUGAUCUGUGUUUGGUGUUUAUGGAGAGCUCCGAAAUUUUGAUCACAGUGAUAGUUAAAGUAACUAGACUCUAAAGAUGACAACUUUGAUGGAAAGCUCUCAUUUAGAGGUACAGAUAUUGGAAUAUUUGUUUUAAAACCAUUCUUAAUACUACUGAUAGUUUAAAUGUAUAUGACCUUAGGAAAUAUUAUAUUUUGUGGGGAUGUCAAACAUAUGACAAAUGGGCCACACUCCUUACACCUAUGCCCAAGGCAGAUAUUGUCAUCAUAGAAUACCUUCCCUAUUGAUCCAGGUACAUCCUCAGAAUUCACUGUAGGACUGUACUCAAGGCCCAUAGUUCUCAAAGUACUCGCCAAUGACCUUCUUACAUCCCUGAGAUUCUCUCAUGGUAUCCACAAGGUUAGAACUAUUUCCCAGAAUACUACUAAAACAUCAUUUGCCCACAUUCUCUCAUUAGGGCAUAGCACUUAGAAUUGAGUAGCCUUAGUCACUUAGAGAGGGGUUUCCCAGGUAGAGCUAGGGGUAAAGAACCUGCCUGCCAAUGGAGGAGACACGAGAGAUGUUCAGUCCCUGGAUGGGGAAGAUCCCCUGGAGGAAGGCAUGGCAAUCCACUCCGGUGUUCUUGUCUGGAGAAAUCCACAGAGGAGCCUGGCAGGCUAUAGUUCAUAGCGUUGCAAAGAGACGGACACAGCUGGAUCAACUUAGCACGCAUGUCCACACGCAGUCACUUAGAGAACAGGGGCAGGGUAGCAAGAAACCUUCAUUGAAGACUAAGAAUUUUCCAAAAUGCUAGCAAAUGAGCUUGCAUUUCUUAGAGAACCCCAAGUAGCUAGCUAUGAUUUUAUUGAAAAGGGCUUUCUGCCUGGCCUCACAGGAAUGGAUCAUGGCAACAGCUGUACAACAAGAAUCCUGUGGGCUGGCCUUGCUGCCCUGUGGGCUCCAGCUCCUCAAAUUCCUUCCAGUUAGCCCUGCAAAUCCCAGAAGUCUCAUGGGUGCUCAAUUUCUUGGCCACUGUGCUGCGGGGAUCACUUCUCUAUUAACAGAAAGUUCCUUGCCUCUCUGGGGAUGGAUGACACGGCUGUCCGUUGAUCCCUUGGUAUCAGCAGCCUCUCUGUUUGGGUAACUGUCUCUCUUCCCCAUACCGGGAGCCCCUCGACGGAGAUGUCCUUACCUUCUUGUUUUCAUGGGCCCGUAACAGAGCCUGGAGCACGGUAAAAGAUCGAAAGAUGUUUGUUGAAUAAAUAUCAAAUCCAAGAACGUGGAGUUGAGUAAGGGCCUCUGCAGAGAGUAGGGGCAAAGGAAGAGAGCCCAAAUCUGGGGUGAGCUGGAGGGGAGGUUGGAAGGAUGCAGCGUGUGAGGCGAGCCAGGGCAAAGAGCGGUGGGCCAGGCAAACAGAAGAUGUCUAGAGACAGUACUGACCCCAGUGGCAACUUCUACCUCGUCACUGCUGUGAAUUUACAUCAAGGGCAGGAACCAGAGUGGGGCACACACCCUCAAUGCAAAACUAUUCAGUUAAAAUGCUAGUGCAUACGUGGCGGUGUGAAUUUGAGAGAGCACACAGGUCAACACACAUCCACUGUAUCUUUAUGGAUGACUUGUUCUAAGGAAUACAUUUAAAAAUAUAUUGCAAGACUCUAAAACUAAAAAAAAAUUUUUUUUAAUGUCUCACACAACCCAUUUGAGAGAGUUAUGUUUAUUAAAUGCAUCUUAAAGGUCGUUUAGAGACUCAUCACUUGGAAUCAUUCAGGAUAAGAAAAGAUUUUUUUUCCCUCAGUUGGAAAGCAGUAACUUUAAAAUGUUUUCCAAUAUUGUAAUCUGUUAUCUACAAGCUGCCUGUAUCAACAACUCUUUGGAAUCUGCAGACACCUGAGGCAAAGAACAAGUGCAAGGCCUCAGUGAGACAGAAAUUUGUUUUAAAAUAAAGAAACUGGGAGGACUCCAACAUUAUGGAAUCAAAAGCAUGUGUUGCAAAUGUAUGAAACAGAAAUACACAUGAUGCAAGCAUAAUCUAUGGCUCUCAAUUUCAACAUUUUAAGUAGAACAGUAAUCUAGGCCGUAAAGAACAUUCUGUGGUUGCCUGAUUCCAUAGAAAGAAGAAAAGUAAUGGGCUGUUUCUUUCCAUGAGUGAAUGCAAAUUUGAAACAAUUUUCCCACUGAAUUGGUGCUGGGGAGCAGUGGGUGGCGAAGAAUAGCUAAUGGUGGUUCAGACAGUAAACCCAUCUGCCUGCUAAUGCAGGAGACCUGGGUUUGAUCCCUGGGUUGGGAAGAUCCCCUGGAGAAGGAAAUGGCAACCCACUCCAGCAUUCUUGCCUAGAAAAUCCCAUGGAUGGAGGAGCCUGGUAGGCUACAGUCCAUUGGGUUGCAAAGUUGGCCACGACUGAGCGAUUUCACUUUUUCAAUGGUGACAGUAACUGGUUAAGACUGUGCAAUCCAUCAAUCUGUUCCACCCAUCCAUCCAUUUAAUAAAUAUUUUUGGAGCCCGCCUCUGUGUGAGGUGCUGGGAGAGCUGCAGGGUGUGCGGAGCCUUGGUCCCUGCCCUCAGCGAUCUCAGACUGUAGUUAGUAGCCCUGUGCCCAUGUGCUGUGGGGUGGCAAAAUCCUGCCAUCUGGUUGGAGGGAGAACCAUAAUAGGACUUUGUGUGAUUCUGUUCAAAAGUACAAGAAAUUACCCCCAAAGUGCUAGGAAUUCAGACAGUGUGAGGAUUGGCACACACACGGUGACAGUCAAAACAGGCUUCCUGUAAGAAGUGGCAUCUUUAAGAAGGCUCAGUAGACUGGUUAGGGAACAGGAGAACAGGAAUGACUCCCAAGCAUAUGAAUCCGUUUCUCCUGAGGACACCACAAAUUAGUCUUCACUUGGGACUGCUUUAUUACAUUUUCUGAAAUAAACCACAAACUCGAAGCCAAAGUUAAAGAUGAACAGAAGGUAAGCUCUACAGGUCACCACCGAUUGCAACAGGAAUUGUAACUCCUUCUGAAAGCAAGUGUGUCUGAGGAACACACAGUAGAUAAAGCAGCUUCUCUGCCUUCUCCCCUGCCUCCCCCUCCCUCUGUCUCAUCUCCUGGGGCUCCCAGGUUCUAGCCUCCUUUUCUCAAGCCGAGGAAUACAAUGGCCACAGGAUUCCUGCCUUCUUUGUUUCAAAAGUCACACCCAAGGGAGGACUUGAAUUCAGCGCAGGCUUGGGAAUGAGGUUUUCCCGAGUCAAAAGACAUUUUCUUAGGUUGGGGACCGAACAGUUUGGAGUUGCAUAGAGAGGAUGAGACAGGAUUCAGCAGAGGCACCCUGGGGCAGCCCUACCAGAAGGGCCGGGGUUGCGCCGCGCAGGUGCGGGGUGGGGGGCGGUGCCCAGGAUUCCAGCCCAGACCAGCAACCCAAGGAGAGAUUUUCCACAUUCCUGGUAGGAUGGAUCGUGAAACUGAAAUGGGACUGAUUUUUAGAGAAAAUAAAAGGCGUCUUUCUUUCUUGCACACGUAAACAUUUUUUUCCCCUUCUUCUAAAUGAAACUUCUUAGUUUGAACCAUCAUCAUCUCUCUUUCUCUCUUUGACUUGUGUUCUUUUAAAAAGAUUUUAUUGCAGGUCUUUAUAAGGCAAUAAGCAGACUCCAGAUCCAGCGGCCAAGGAGGCCCUAAUGCUAGUGUGGGUACCCGGCUGGGGUGUGGCAGGCGGCUCUCUGCCUUCCCACCCCUCUGGUUCCAAGAUGAGAGUCAUGGUGGUUUCCAGUCACCUUUGGGUUCCACAGUGCUCCUGUGACCGGGCACGGGCUGUCUGGGCCAGUUGUACCAGCCAGGCCCUAAGGCCGGCGUGACCCUUCCCUCCAUGCCCAGCACACCCUGUCUGAGGGGCGUGGGGUGCCCGGCGCCGUCAAUACAGGAAGCGAACAGGGCCCCCACUACGGACCGUCAGGCCAUCCACAGAUUUCACGGUGGCUUUAGCCCUCUGUCCUCAGAGUCCUCCCAGACAUGGCGAGCUUGCAGCCUCUGGCCCCGCUCUCCAUGGUGACCCGCAGCACAGCAAGGCCUUCCAGGAGGGAACGCAGACCCUCGGGCUGGGCGCACAGACCCCUUUUGGCCGCCUUCUCGGCACAGCGCUCUGUACUGCCCUCGGAGAAGCCAGGUCUCUUCGGAACCACGCACACGGCUCGCAGCCACCGGCCCCCACCGGCCCUUCUCACCGAGAACAUCCCGUUGCUUCGCGGCCAGGAGGGUGACCUGGGUCCUGCUUGGUGUGUGACUCAGGGCUCAGCCCCGGGGCACCCAUCUUUGAGACGCCCUCGGUUGGGCUCUGAGGGCGCCGCGCCCGCCACAGGCCGCCUCUUCCUGCAGCGCCGCGCCGCCAUCUUGCCGCAAAGGCUGCUGGGAGUGAAGGGUGUCUCAGGUGAGGACAGCGGGUUUGUGCGAGACCCGGAUGCUGGAAACGCUUCGUGCGCACGUGCGUACGUGUGUACGUGCGCCAGCGCCUGGGGCGGGACCGUCUCUCUUUGCCGGAUGGGGCUAAGCGGGUGGCUCCUUCUGAGGAGAGUCUGGCCCCUGUGCACCGCUCCCCUCCUCCACCGCCCCAAUUCGAGCAAGAGGAGGAUUCGACAGAGACGGAAGCAGAAAGAACCUCGCGUUUCCCCCGACUUUUUAAUAUUCUCAAAAUUCUGAAUCCUUGGAGGGGAUGACCAAUAGAAUAAUGAACACUGUUAAAGAUGAAAAGGGGCCUGGACAAUGUGUUUAAAACAAAACAAUUCAUCCACCAUCAUCUGAAAACAUGUGCCAAAUGCACCUGCCUGCGACCAGGGGAUCUUUGGAGGAGAUCUGAGGCCAGACACUGAGAACGCUUGGCUUCAUCUCAGACCUAAGAGAAACUGGAGCACCUUUCAGUAGUUGCUGGCUUGUCAAGCCCUUCGAGAAACUCAAGUUUGACAGUCUCCCUGGUCUGUAGUAACAGAAACGUGGUUCCUGUUGGCCUCGGGGUGGACUUGCCCAAGGUGACAGCUACCCCUGGCAGGCAGGUGAUGGGUGGCGUAUAAAAUCAGGAAGAGCUUAGCUCCAGAUUCCAUUUCCUCCUCGGCUCCUCCCUGCAGGGAAGCUUUUCAUCCAAACAUGAAAGCCACACCAUAGUAGAGGCCUUGGAGCCCUGGAAGAUGCCGCUUCUUUGUCAAAGGCAUAGGAUGGGCCCGGGCGCCUCAUCUCUUCCCACAGUCACCUGGAUCCGGGAGAAGAUACAACGUCCAUGCCAAUGAAAGUCUUUCUGACUGAACUGCAUUGAACAGGGCAGCUGUAAAAGGGCGUUGGGAGAGGUCAGCUUCUCUGCGCUGAUUCCAGUGAGUUUGUUAGGAGAGGAGAGUGAGGGAAUGAAGAGAAGAAGAGGGCAUUUUCUCCAGGGUAGCCACAGCAUCGAGCACAGACUCCUAAGGUGGAUACUCCACAGAAGCAAGGGCCUCUGGACAUGGAAAGCGGGGCAAGUGCUAGAGAUGGUGACAGAGACCACGUCCGGAAAGCUCAAUAAAUAGAGCUGGCUUCUGGCUGGGCUGGAGGCUGACUGGCUUCUGAUGGGACCGGAGGGCGGCCGGGAGGGUCUGGCCUGAGACGGGCAGUGAGAGAGCUACACUGCAGCUCCCCUCUUUUCUGGGGAUGCAGGCCCUGUGUCCUUCCUGUCUCCCCAGAUCUGGGCUCUCUCCUUUAGUAACUACACACUGCCAGAUCAGGGGCUUCCGUGGUGGCUCAGACGGUAAAGACUCCCCCUGCAACGCGGGAGACCUGGGUUCGAUCGCUAGAGGGGAGGGCACGGCCUCCCGCUCCGGUAUUCUGGCCUGGAGAGCCCCCCUGGACAGAGGAGCCUCAUGGGCUACAGUCCAUGGGGUCGCAGAGUUGGACACGACUGAGGCACUAAGCACAGCACAGCCGCCAGGUCAGAGUCCACGUUCUGAGGGGGUCUGCUGUUCUCCCAAAUACAUCCAAGGGUGCUCUCUGAGCCUUGAAUUUCUUGGGUUCUUUUCCUUUUUCCAUUUUCCUGCGCCUACUGACUCCCCUCCUUCACUCUUCCCAGCCUCUUGGAACUCGUCUCUUUCUGCCUUAGGAUGAAUGAAAUGUUGCCCCUUUUCUUUGUGUAUCUGAAGGCUGGGGUUAGUGGAGAUUUUAGCACUGCCUAGUAGAGGAGACAAAGUUCACUAGCUCUCCCCAGCUCUGGGGGCCUUCCUGCUGGUCCCUCUCCACCUACUCCUCUUCCUCUGCCAUCUGCCCCUUCCCGGCAAUCGCUGCUAAGUACCCUACUUAGUCUCCAUUUCUUCCAAGUCACCAGGCCUCUCUCUAGUGGUAUCUGCACCUGAGGGCUCCAAGACUUCUGGGUGCUUUAUUAAAGCAAAGCAAUUUAGGUCUCUCAGGCUCAGGCUGGACACACUUAAUGGAGCUCAGCGGCCUCACUCCCCAGUCUUCUCAACAGAAAGAUGACCCACCUCAGCAAGGAGGUGGAUCAUGCCAUUUCCUAGCAGGCAGAAGUUGUAACUCCUGGGUGUUUUCAACACAAGCCUUUUCCCUUCCUCCAGUGUUGAGAGCAUGUAGGACAGAGUCAAGGUGUUAUAGAGGCUGGAGACACCUGCACACCCUGCUCCCAGCUCUGCUGACAGCAGAGGAGCCUGUGAAUGGCUUGCAUCAGGUUUGCUGCUGGAUUUAUUCCUUACCUUGGUCCUGGGAGAGGCCAGUGGCUUGGCAGUGGUGUGCUCCUCACUAAAGAGAAAACUUGGGUGGCUGAGUGGAGUUAGUGAUCCAAAAUCUCAGGGCCAACCCUCAGUGACCUUGGGCGAGUCCUAGACAAACAGGACAAACAGAAGCAUGGCAGCCUUCCCUUUAUAAUGACUGCCCUGUUUGCAGGGGGUUGCCCUCGCCCUCGGACACACAGUCAGACCGGCCACCUCUCUGCCUCUGACACGUAGUGUGCACUGGGCGAAGGAGGCGUCAGGGCAGUCUCUUCCCGAGAGCCAAAAGGACAGAAUGCAGGGCUGCUUCCAAGUUUGGGUUUUGCUUUUCUUCUUUGUGGCCUUGCUUUCCCCUCACUAUUCAUAACUCCUUAAUGGAAGCCAGGUGGUCCCGCAUCCCCAUCCACGCUCCCCACCAGCUACCCAAGCAGAAUCCAGUCUAUUAAGAUGUCCAGUUUGGAGAGCCAGUCACUCCCUGCUGAAAACGACCAUGUAGUGUGGCUGGACUGGAAGGGCUCAGGUCGAGGGCGAUUGUCCUUUCGUGAUGCAUAAUUUAACAGAGUCUCUGAGAGGGGACAGAAUUUUAGUCCAUCUGAUUCCAUCUGUGGUACAAAUGGCUUAAAAAAAAUCAGUAGAUUAAGGAUUAAGUUAGAGAGUCUUUAUGC